rnacentral:rRNA from 7 species
UACCAGCUGGCUGCAACUGUUUAUUAAAAACACAGCACUGUGCAAACACGAAAGUGGACGUAUACGGUGUGACGCCUGCCCGGUGCCGGAAGGUUAAUUGAUGGGGUCAGCGCAAGCGAAGCUCCUGAUCGAAGCCCCGGUAAACGGCGGCCGUAACUAUAACGGUCCUAAGGUAGCGAAAUUCCUUGUCGGGUAAGUUCCGACCUGCACGAAUGGCGUAAUGAUGGCCAGGCUGUCUCCACCCGAGACUCAGUGAAAUUGAACUCGCUGUGAAGAUGCAGUGUACCCGCGGCAAGACGGAAAGACCCCGUGAACCUUUACUAUAGCUUGACACUGAACAUUGAGCCUUGAUGUGUAGGAUAGGUGGGAGGCUUUGAAGUGUGGACGCCAGUCUGCAUGGAGCCGACCUUGAAAUACCACCCUUUAAUGUUUGAUGUUCUAACGUGGACCCGUAAUCCGGGUUGCGGACAGUGUCUGGUGGGUAGUUUGACUGGGGCGGUCUCCUCCUAAAGAGUAACGGAGGAGCACGAAGGUUGGCUAAUCCUGGUCGGACAUCAGGAGGUUAGUGCAAUGGCAUAAGCCAGCUUGACUGCGAGCGUGACGGCGCGAGCAGGUGCGAAAGCAGGUCAUAGUGAUCCGGUGGUUCUGAAUGGAAGGGCCAUCGCUCAACGGAUAAAAGGUACUCCGGGGAUAACAGGCUGAUACCGCCCAAGAGUUCAUAUCGACGGCGGUGUUUGGCACCUCGAUGUCGGCUCAUCACAUCCUGGGGCUGAAGUAGGUCCCAAGGGUAUGGCUGUUCGCCAUUUAAAGUGGUACGCGAGCUGGGUUUAGAACGUCGUGAGACAGUUCGGUCCCUAUCUGCCGUGGGCGCUGGAGAACUGAGGGGGGCUGCUCCUAGUACGAGAGGACCGGAGUGGACGCAUCACUGGUGUUCGGGUUGUCAUGCCAAUGGCACUGCCCGGUAGCUAAAUGCGGAAGAGAUAAGUGCUGAAAGCAUCUAAGCACGAAACUUGCCCCGAGAUGAGUUCUCCCUGAGACUUUAGGUCUCCUGAAGGAACGUUGAAGACGACGACGUUGAUAGGCCGGGUGUGUAAGCGCAGCGAUGCGUUGAGCUAACCGGUACUAAUGAACCGUGAGGCUUAACCUUACAACGCCGAAG